UACGUAGGGGGCAAGCGUUGUCCGGAAUUAUUGGGCGUAAAGAGCGCGUAGGCGGUCCGAUAAGUCGGCUGUGAAAGUCAGGGGCUCAACCCUUGGAAGCCGGCCGAUACUGUCGGACUAGAGUCCGGAAGAGGCGAGUGGAAUUCCCGGUGUAGCGGUGAAAUGCGCAGAUAUCGGGAGGAACACCAGUGGCGAAGGCAGCUCGCUGGGACGGUACUGGACGCUGAGACGCGAAAGCGUGGGGAGCGAACAGG
rnacentral:rRNA from 1 species